rnacentral:rRNA from 1 species
GACGAACGCUGGCGGCGUGCUUAACACAUGCAAGUCGAACGGGAGCGUAGAGAAAGCUUGCUUUUUCUACAAUCUAGUGGCAAACGGGUGAGUAACGCGUAAACAACCUGCCCUACGGAUGGGGACAACAGCUGGAAACGGCUGCUAAUACCGAAUACGUUCCGAAAGUCGCAUGACUAUCGGAAGAAAGGAUGGCCUCUAUUUAUAAGCUAUCGCCGGAGGAGGGGUUUGCGUCUGAUUAGCUAGUUGGAGGGGUAACGGCCCACCAAGGCGACGAUCAGUAGCCGGUCUGAGAGGAUGAACGGCCACAUUGGAACUGAGACACGGUCCAGACUCCUACGGGAGGCAGCAGUGGGGAAUCUUCCGCAAUGGGCGAAAGCCUGACGGAGCAACGCCGCGUGAGUGAAGACGGCCUUCGGGUUGUAAAGCUCUGUUAUACGGGACGAAUAAUCUUGUGGUUAAUACCCAUGAGAAGUGACGGUACCGUAAGAGAAAGCCACGGCUAACUACGUG